GAUGAACGCUAGCGGGAGGCCUAACACAUGCAAGCCGAGCGGUAUUUGUUCUUCGGAACAGAGAGAGCGGCGCACGGGUGCGGAACACGUGUGCAACCUGCCUUUAUCUGGGGGAUAGCCUUUCGAAAGGAAGAUUAAUACCCCAUAAUAUAUUGAGUGGCAUCACUUGAUAUUGAAAACUCCGGUGGAUAGAGAUGGGCACGCGCAAGAUUAGAUAGUUGGUGAGGUAACGGCUCACCAAGUCAAUGAUCUUUAGGGGGCCUGAGAGGGUGAUCCCCCACACUGGUACUGAGACACGGACCAGACUCCUACGGGAGGCAGCAGUGAGGAAUAUUGGACAAUGGGUUAGCGCCUGAUCCAGCCAUCCCGCGUGAAGGACGACGGCCCUAUGGGUGGUAAACUUCUUUUGUAUAGGGAUAAACCUACUCUCGUGAGAGUAGCUGAAGGUACUAUACGAAUAAGCACCGGCUAACUCCGUG
rnacentral:rRNA from 1 species